CAGUCGCCACAGUAAUACGUAUGUCACAAGCGUUAUCCGGGUUUAUUGGGCGUAAAGCGCGUCUAGGUGGUUAUGUAAGUCUGAUGUGAAAAUGCAGGGCUCAACUCUGUAUUGCGUUGGAAACUGUGUAACUAGAGUACUGGAGAGGUAAGCGGAACUACAAGUGUAGAGGUGAAAUUCGUAGAUAUUUGUAGGAAUGCCGAUGGGGAAGCCAGCUUACUGGACAGAUACUGACGCUGAAGCGCGAAAGCGUGGGUAGCAAACAGGAUUAGAUACCCCCGUAGUCCCUGUCCUUAUACAC
rnacentral:rRNA from 1 species